CCUACGGGAGGCAGCAGUGAGGAAUAUUGGUCAAUGGACGAGAGUCUGAACCAGCCAAGUAGCGUGAAGGAUGACGGCCCUAUGGGUUGUAAACUGCUUUUAUAUGGGAAUAAAAUGUUCCACGUGUGGGAUUUUGUAUGUACCAUAUGAAUAAGGAUCGGCUAACUCCGUGCCAGCAGCCGCGGUAAUACGGAGGAUCCGAGCGUUAUCCGGAUUUAUUGGGUUUAAAGGGAGCGUAGGUGGUUUGUUAAGUCAGAUGUGAAAGUUUGGGGCUCAACCGUGAAAUUGCAGUUGAUACUGGUGGUCGUGAGUGUAGUAGCGGUGGGCGGAAUUCGUGGUGUAGCGGUGAAAUGCUUAGAUAUCACGAAGAACUCCGAUUGCGAAGGCAGCUCACUGGACUGCAACUGACGCUGAGGCACGAAAGUGUGGGUAGCAAACAGGAUUAGAUACCCUUGUAGUC
rnacentral:rRNA from 1 species